rnacentral:rRNA from 1 species
GAUGAACGCUGGCGGCGUGCCUAAUACAUGCCAGUCGAGCGAACGGACGAGAAGCUUGCUUCUCUGAUGUUAGCGGCGGACGGGUGAGUAACACGUGGAUAACCUACCUAUAAGACUGGGAUAACUUCGGGAAACCGGAGCUAAUACCGGAUAAUAUUUUGAACCGCAUGGUUCAAAAGUGAAAGACGGUCUUGCUGUCACUUAUAGAUGGAUCCGCGCUGCAUUAGCUAGUUGGUAAGGUAACGGCUUACCAAGGCAACGAUGCAUAGCCGACCUGAGAGGGUGAUCGGCCACACUGGAACUGAGACACGGUCCAGACUCCUACGGGAGGCAGCAGUAGGGAAUCUUCCGCAAUGGGCGAAAGCCUGACGGAGCAACGCCGCGUGAGUGAUGAAGGUCUUCGGAUCGUAAAACUCUGUUAUUAGGGAAGAACAUAUGUGUAAGUAACUGUGCACAUCGUGACGGUACCUAAUCAGAAAGCCACGGCUAACUACGUG